rnacentral:rRNA from 1 species
ACUGGUUGAUCUUGCCAGCAGUGUUCCUUUAUUCCAAUGAUUAAGCCAUGCAAGCAUCCUUCCGACCUAGCACGUCGGUCAGUGUGGACGGCUCAGAAAAACGAUCAGAACCCACCCCACAGCCUCUUUCCUUAAAAGGAUACCGUCGGUAAUUGGAUGUUAAAAUUUUGUUUUCAUUUUAUCCGACUUUUCGAAGGGUAGAGCGUGCUGGUGACAACAAGCCAACGGCUCGAUUUGUUCGAGUCCCAACGAUGAGGCACAGCACGUUUUCGGAGCGCAUUUAAACACUCUUUUGAGUGUGGCGCCAUGUGGGACGGCUCUUCGCACUAUCAGCUUUCGUCGGCGGUGUAUUGGACCGCCGAGGCAGUGACGGUCACGGAGAAUUAGGGUUUGAUUCCGGAGAGAGGGCCUGAGAGACGGCCCUCAUAGCCACGGCUAGCAGCAGGCGCGCAACCUACCCAAUGGGCAUUUUUUUUAAACGCCUGAGGUGGAGACGGAAAAUAACAAGGCCUGGCUUCUUUAAGUCGGGCCAUUGUAAUGGGAUUCACUCAAACCAUGUUUCGAGGAGCAAGCGGAGGGAAAGCCUGGUGCCAGCAGCCGCGGUAAUUCCAGCUCCGCGAAGGAACGCUGAAGCUGUUGCGGUUAAAAAGCUCGUAGUUUGACUUUUGGGGCCUGGUGUUCUUGGUCUCCUGGACUUGUUUCAGGUUGUACCAUUAGUACCAUAUUGGCCUCUGUGUGAUGAGUGAGUCUUUGAUUCGCUUGUCACCGUUGGUUCGUGUUUCACUUUUGUGAAUAACGAGCCCUUUUGUUUUGAAUAAAUGAUAGCGCUCCAGGCAGGCUAUGUAGCCAUUGCAUCCUACAGUGUUGAACGACAAAACAGGACCUCUGCGGUCAGUGUUGUUGGUUUGACUCCGCAAAGGUAAUGAUUAAAGGAGCGGUCGGGGGCAUUCGUACGUGCCGGUCAGAGGUGAAAUUCUUGGAUCCGGCAUAGACGAUCAACUGCGAAAGCAUCUGCCAAGGACGUUUCCGUUAAUCAAGAACGAAAGUUGGAGGAUCGAAGGUGAUCAGAUACCGCCCUAGUUCCAACCGUAAACGAUGUCGGCACGGGAUCCGGUGUUGGCCUUUUUCAUUGGGCUCACUGGGCACCGUCGGGGAAACCAUUAGCCUUUGGACUCCGGGGGUAGUAUGGGCGCAAGCCUGAAACUUAAAAGAAUUGACGGAAAAGCACACCAGAGGCGGAAUUUGCGGCUCAAUUUGACCCAACGCGAGGAAACUUACCAGGGCAGGAGAGAAGUAGGAGGAACGGGUUGCAGACCUUUUCCGAUUUUCUCGCUGGUGGUGCAUGGCCGUUCUUAGUUCGUGGGAUAACCUGUCUGCUUUAUUGCGUUAACGAACGAGAUCUCCGCCUACUUGUUGCCCCGCAUCCAGAUUUCGGUUUGGGUGAUAUUUUUCACGGGGGAUCAAGAGGGACUUUGGGUGUAAGCUCAAGGAAGUGGAGGCAAUAACAGGUCCGUGACGCCCUUAGGUGGCCUGGGCGGCACGCGAUUUA